rnacentral:rRNA from 1 species
UACCUGCCUUGGAGUGGGAUACAGCUGGAACAGCUGCUAAUACCGCAUAAAUAUCUGUGUCGCAUGGCACUGGAUAUCAAAGAUUUAUCGCUCUGAGAUGGACUCGCGUCUGAUUAGCUAGUUGGCGGGGUAACGGCCCACCAAGGCGACGAUCAGUAGCCGGACUGAGAGGUUGGCCGGCCACCAUUGGGACUGAGACACGGCCCAGACUCCUACGGAAGGCAGCAG